GGAAGAUCAUGGCUCAGUGGUAGAGGACAUGCUUUCUGUGCAAAAGGCACAGGUUCAAUCUCUGACAUCUCCA